rnacentral:rRNA from 1 species
AGAUUGAACGCUGGCGGCAGGCCUAACACAUGCAAGUCGAGCGGUAGAGAGGUGCUUGCACCUCUUGAGAGCGGCGGACGGGUGAGUAAUGCCUAGGAAUCUGCCUAGUGGUGGGGGAUAACGUUCGGAAACGGACGCUAAUACCGCAUACGUCCUACGGGAGAAAGCGGGGGACCUUCGGGCCUCGCGCCAUUAGAUGAGCCUAGGUCGGAUUAGCUAGUUGGUGAGGUAAUGGCUCACCAAGGCGACGAUCCGUAACUGGUCUGAGAGGAUGAUCAGUCACACUGGAACUGGAGACACGGUCCAGACUCCUACGGGAGGCAGCGAGGUAGGGGAAUAGUUGGAACAAGUGGGACGAAGCCUGACUCCAGCCAUGCCGCGUGUGUAGAGAGGUUCUCGGAUUGUAAGCUAAGUUUAGGUGGAGUAAGGUUGUAACUUAGUACGUUGACUACGUUUGACGUUACGA